AGGUGAUUAUAGCGAUGGGGCUCACCUCUUACCAUUCCGAACAGAGAAGUUAAGCCCAUUAGCGCCGAUGGUACUGCCACAGGUGGGAGAGUAGGUCGUUUCCUUGCU
rnacentral:rRNA from 1 species